CGUCAUUAUAACAUGUUGUUGUGUAUGUCUCUGCCAGGUUAGGGGUCAGGGGUCAUGUUGUUGUGUAUGUCUCUGCCAGGUCAGGGGUCAGGGGGUCAUGUUGUUGUGUAUGUCUCUGCCAGGUUAGGGGUCAGGGGGUCAUGUUGUUGUGUAUGUCUCUGCCAGGUCAGGAGUCAGGGGGUCAUGUUGUUGUGUAUGUCUCUGCCAGGUUAGGGGUCAUGUUGUUUUGUCUGCCUCUGUCGGGUCAGGGGGUCUAUAACAUGUUGUUUUGUCUGCCUCUGCCAGGUCUGGGUCAGGGAGUGCCUCUGGUCUGUCUGAUCCUGGAGGGGGGUCCCAACGUCAUCUCCAUAGUCCUGGAGAGCCUGAGGGAGGACCCCCCUGUCCCGGUGGUGGUCUGUGACGGCAGUGGACGGGCCUCUGACAUCAUCUCCUUCGCACACAGAUACUCUGAGGACGACGGCUUGGUAAGUGAUAGCGUGAAGGACCAGCUCCUGGUCACCAUACAGAAGACGUUCAACUACAACCGCGGUCAGGCCCAGCAGAUCUUCCUCAUGGUGAUGGAAUGCAUGAAGAAGCGAUCUCUGGUGAGUAGGGAAGACAUAAUUAUACAGGCUAUGUUCCCAUAAAUGACAUUAGCAUAACACUUAGAAUUCCUGUCCAAUGCAUUGCAUGCGUCAUAAGUGACGGUUUUAGUAUCUAGACAAUUUGUUAGUUAAAAUGUAUUUUUCUAAGCCUUUACGUACAUUUUAGAAACACUUUACCGCAUAAGUCAAACCUAAUGUAUUCAAAAUAUAUUCAAACAUUAAAGAUUAUAAUUUGUGAUGAAAGUAAAGCGACAUUUUAAUAAUUUAAUUGUUUUAUGUUAUUUGAUGCGUCAAUAAAAUUGUCCCAUUCAUUUGUGUCAUCCUGUACUUUCAUUCAUGUGUCAUGUGUCCAAUCAUUUGACCCGGUACGUUAAAUAAGUCAACACAACCAAUAUCCAUCAUCACUGAAGACCUGAAACUAUUCUACUUCAUAAACCCUGCAUCCCAUAGUCAGUGUCCCCAUAAACUAUAGUUGAAGAAUGUGUCCUCAUAAACAACGAUAAUAUGAACUACAUCACCAUCAUCCCUGUCUCACAUCUUCAACUACAUCACCAUCAUCCCUGUCUCACUUCCUCAACUACAUCACCAUCAUCCCUGUCUCACAUCUUGAACUACAUCUCCAUCAUCCCUGUCACACUUCCUCAACUACAUCUCCAUCAUCCCUGUCUCACUUCCUCAACUACAUCACCAUCAUCCCUGUCUCACUUCCUCAACUACAUCACCAUCAUCUCUGUCUCACUUCCUAAACUACAUCACCAUCAUCCCUGUCUCACUUCCUCAACUACAUCACCAUCAUCCCCAUCUCACUUCUUCAACUACAUCCCCAUCAUCCCUGUCUCACUUCUUCAACUAUAUCACCAUCAUCCCCAUCUCACUUCUUCAACUACAUCACCAUCAUCCCUGUCUCACUUCCCCAACUACACCACCAUCAUCCCUGUCUCACAUCUUCAACUACAUCACCAUCGUCCCUGUUUCACUUCCUCAACUACAUCACCAUCAUCCCUGUCUCACAUAUUCAACUACCUCACCCCUGUCUCACUUCCUCAACUACAUCACCAUCAUCCCUGUCUCACAUCUUCAACUACAUCACCAUCAUCCCUGUUUCACUUCCUCAACUACAUCACCAUCAUCCCUGUCUCACAUAUUCAACUACCUCACCAUCGUCCCUGUUUCACUUCCUCAACUACAUCACCAUCAUCCCUGUCUCACAUAUUCAACUACCUCACCCCUGUCUCACUUCCUCAACUACAUCACCAUCAUCCCUGUCUCACAUCUUCAACUACAUCACCAUCAUCCCUGUCUCACAUCUUCAACUACAUCACCAUCAUCCCUGUCUCACAUCUUUAUCUACAUCACCAUCCUCCCUGUCUCACUUCCUCAACUGCAUCACCCUCAUCCCUGUCUCCCAGCUUCUUCAACUACAUCUCCAUCAUCCCCGUCUCACUUCCUCAACUACAUCACCCUCAUCCCUGUCUCCCAGCUUCUUCAAUUACAUCACCAUCAUCCCUGUCUCACUUCCUCAACUACAUCACCAUCAUCCCUGUCUCACUUCCUCAACUACAUCACCAUCAUCCCCAUCUCACUUCCUCAACUACAUCACCAUCAUCCCUGUCUCACUUCUUCAACUACAUCACCAUCAUACGUGUCUCACUUCCUCAACUACAUCACCA
rnacentral:lncRNA from 1 species